GUGGGGAAUAUUGGUCAAUGGACGGAAGUCUGAACCAGCCAAGUAGCGUGCAGGAUGACGGCCCUAUGGGUUGUAAACUGCUUUUAUAUAGGGAUAAAGUUCACUACGUGUAGUGUUUUGUAGGUACUAUAUGAAUAAGGACCGGCUAAUUCCGUGCCAGCAGCCGCGGUAAUACGGAAGGUCCGGGCGUUAUCCGGAUUUAUUGGGUUUAAAGGGAGCGCAGGCUGAUGAUUAAGCGUGACGUGAAAUGUAGCCGCUCAACGGCUGAACUGCGUCGCGAACUGGUUAUCUUGAGUGAGUUCGAUGUUGGCGGAAUUCGUGGUGUAGCGGUGAAAUGCUUAGAUAUCACGAAGAACUCCGAUUGCGAAGGCAGCCAACAAGGCCUUUACUGACGCUAAAGCUCGAAGGUGCGGGUAUCGAACAGG
rnacentral:rRNA from 1 species